GACGAACGCUGGCGGCGUGCUUAACACAUGCAAGUCGAACGGAAAGGCCCUGCUUUUGUGGGGUGCUCGAGUGGCGAACGGGUGAGUAACACGUGAGUAACCUGCCCUUGACUUUGGGAUAACUUCAGGAAACUGGGGCUAAUACCGGAUAGGAGCUCCUGCUGCAUGGUGGGGGUUGGAAAGUUUCGGCGGUUGGGGAUGGACUCGCGGCUUAUCAGCUUGUUGGUGGGGUAGUGGCUUACCAAGGCUUUGACGGGUAGCCGGCCUGAGAGGGUGACCGGCCACAUUGGGACUGAGAUGCGGCCCAGACUCCUACGGGAGGCAGCAGUGGGGAAUAGUGCACAAUGGGCGGAAGCCUGAUGCAGCACCGCCGCGUGCGGGAUGACGGCCUUCGGGUUGUAAACCGCUUUCGCCUGUGACGAAGCGUGAGUGACGGUAAUGGGUAAAGAAGCACCGGCUAACUACGUG
rnacentral:rRNA from 1 species